rnacentral:misc_RNA from 1 species
AACGCACCUUGCGCUCCUUGGUAUUCCGAGGAGCAUGCCUGUUUGAGUGUCGUGAAAUCAUCAACUCUCUUUGCUUUUUUUGUAAAGGUGAGCUUGGAUUUGGGGACUGCUGGCCCUAGAGGUUCUGGCUUCCCUUGAAUGCAUUAGCUGGACAUUGAUUUGCAGCAUAUAUGCGGUGUGAUAAUGUCUUCAUCGUGUAGCUCAAGUCGCGACUGGCUUCAAACCGUCCUUUGCCGGGACAAUUUUGACCACUAGACCUCAAAUCAGGUAGGACUACCCGCUGAACUUAA